AAGUCGUAACAAGGUUUCCGUAGGUGAACCUGCGGAAGGAUCAUUAUUGAAUAAACAUGGUUGGGUUGUAGCUGACUCCUUGGAGUAUGUGCACACCUGCCGUCUUUAUCUAUCCACCUGUGCACACAUUGUAGUCUUGGGGGAUUGAUUAGUGACAAAUUUUGUUGCAAUGUCGUCCUCCGAGGUCUAUGUUAUCAUAAACCACUUAGUAUGUCGUAGAAUGAAGUAUUUGGGCCUUAGUGCCUAUAAAACAAAAUACAACUUUCAGCAACGGAUCUCUUGGCUCUC
rnacentral:misc_RNA from 1 species